rnacentral:rRNA from 1 species
AGGAAGCACCGGCUAACUCCGUGCCAGCAGCCGCGGUAAUACGGAGGGUGCGAGCGUUGUUCGGAAUUACUGGGCGUAAAGGGCGCGUAGGUGGCUAAUUAAGUCAGGUGUGAAAUCCUUCCGCUUAACGGGAGAAGUGCACUUGAAACUGCUUAGCUAGAGUACGGGAGAGGAAGGUGGAAUUCCUGGUGUAGAGGUGAAAUUCAUAGAUAUCGGGAAGAACACCGGUGGCGAAGGCGGCCUUCUGGCCCGUUACUGACGCUGAGGCGCGAAAGCGUGGGGAGCAAACAGGAUUAGAUACCCUGGUAGUCCACGCCGUAAACGUUGGGCACUAGGUGUGGGAGGUUUUUAUUCCUUCUUUGCCGAAGCUAACGCA